AGUGAACGCUGGCGGUAGGCCUAACACAUGCAAGUCGAACGGCAGCACAGUAAGAGCUUGCUCUUACGGGUGGCGAGUGGCGGACGGGUGAGGAAUACAUCGGAAUCUACUUUUUCGCGGGGGAUAACGUAGGGAAACUUACGCUAAUACCGCAUACGACCUACGGGUGAAAGCAGGGGAUCUUCGGACCUUGCGCGAUUGAAUGAGCCGAUGUCGGAUUAGCUAGUUGGCGGGGUAAAGGCCCACCAAGGCGACGAUCCGUAGCUGGUCUGAGAGGAUGAUCAGCCACACUGGAACUGAGACACGGUCCAGACUCCUACGGGAGGCAGCAGUGGGGAAUAUUGGACAAUGGGCGCAAGCCUGAUCCAGCCAUACCGCGUGGGUGAAGAAGGCCUUCGGGUUGUAAAGCCCUUUUGUUGGGAGAGAAAAGCAGCAGGUUAAUACCCCGCUGUUCUGACGGUACCCAAAGAAUAAGCACCGGCUAACUUCGUG
rnacentral:rRNA from 1 species